AUUGAACGCUGGCGGCAGGCUUAACACAUGCAAGUCGAGCGGGGUGAUGGUGCUUGCACUAUCACUUAGCGGCGGACGGGUGAGUAAUGCUUAGGAAUCUGCCUAUUAGUGGGGGGCAACAUCUCGAAAGGGAUGCUAAUACCGCAUACGUCCUACGGGAGAAAGCAGGGGAUCACUUGUGACCUUGCGCUAAUAGAUGAGCCUAAGGCGGAUUAGCUAGUUGGUGGGGUAAAGGCCUACCAAGGCGACGAUCUGUAGCGGGUCUGAGAGGAUGAUCCGCCACAAUGGGACUGAGACACGGCCCAGACUCCUACGGGAGGCAGCAGUGGGGAAUAUUGGACAAUGGGGGGAACCCUGAUCCAGCCAUGCCGCGUGUGUGAAGAAGGCCUUAUGGUUGUAAAGCACUUUAAGCGAGGAGGAGGCUCUUUUGGUUAAUACCCAAGAUGAGUGGACGUUACUCGCAGAAUAAGCACCGGCUAACUCUGUGCCAGCCGCCGCCGUAA
rnacentral:rRNA from 1 species